rnacentral:rRNA from 1 species
UACGGAGGGGACUAGCGUUGUUCGGAAUUACUGGGCGUAAAGCGCACGUAGGCGGACCUGCAAGUUGGGGGUGAAAUCCCGGGGCUCAACCCCGGAACUGCCUCCAAAACUGCUGGUCUGGAGGUCGAGAGGGGUGAGUGGAAUUCCGAGUGUAGAGGUGAAAUUCGUAGAUAUUCGGAGGAACACCAGUGGCGAAGGCGGCUCACUGGCUCGAUACUGACGCUGAGGUGCGAAAGCGUGGGGAGCAAACAGG